rnacentral:rRNA from 1 species
GACGAACGCUGGCGGCGUGCUUAACACAUGCCAGUCGAACGCUGAAGCUCAGCUUUUGUUGGGUGGAUGAGUGGCGAACGGGUGAGUAACACGUGAGUAACCUGCCUCCUUCUUUGGGAUAACGCCCGGAAACGGGUGCUAAUACCGGAUAUUCACUGGUCUUCGCAUGGGGGUUGGUGGAAAGGGUUUUUCUGGUGGGGGAUGGGCUCGCGGCCUAUCAGCUUGUUGGUGGGGUGAUGGCCUACCAAGGCUUUGACGGGUAGCCGGCCUGAGAGGGUGACCGGUAACAUUGGGACUGAGAUACGGCCCAGACUCCUACGGGAGGCAGCAGUGGGGAAUAUUGCACAAUGGGCGCAAGCCUGAUGCAGCGACGCCGCGUGAGGGAUGGAGGCCUUCGGGUUGUGAACCUCUUUCGCUCAUGGUCAAGCCGCAACAAUGGUUGUGGUGAGGGUAGUGGGUAAAGAAGCGCCGGCUAACUACGUG